AUUGAACGCUGGCGGCAGGCCUAACACAUGCAAGUCGAGCGGAGCGGCGGACGGGUGCGUAAUGCCUAGGAAUCUGCCUGGUAGUGGGGGAUAACGUCCGGAAAGGGGAGCUAAUACAGCAUACUAUUCGAUGCGCCUAGAUCGGCUUAGCUAGUUGGUGGGGUAAAGGCCCACCAAGGCGACGAUCCGUAACUGGUUUGAGAGGAUGAUCAGUCACACUGGAACUGAGACACGGUCCAGACUCCUACGGGAGGCAGCAGUGGGGAAGAUUGGACAAUGGGCGAAAGCCUGAUCCAGCCAUGCCGCGUGUAUGAAGAAGGCCUUAGGGUUGUAAAGUACUUUCAGCGGGGAGGCGUUACCCGCAGAAGAAGCACCGGCUAACUCCGUGCCAGCAGCCGCGGUAAUAC
rnacentral:rRNA from 1 species